rnacentral:rRNA from 1 species
UGCCAGCAGCUGCGGUAAUACGGAGGGUGCAAGCGUUAAUCGGAAUUACUGGGCGUAAAGCGUGUGUAGGCGGUCUGCUAAGUCGGACGUGAAAGCCCCGGGCUUAACCUGGGAAUUGCAUUCGAUACUGGUAGACUUGAAUUUGGUAGAGGAAAGUGGAAUUCCGGGUGUAGCGGUGAAAUGCGUAGAUAUGUGGAGGAACACCUGUGGCGAAGGCGGCUGCCUGGCCCAAUACUGACGCUGAGGUGCGAAAGCGUGGGGAGCGAACAGGAUUAGAUA